GACGAACGCUGGCGGCGUGCCUAAUACAUGCAAGUCGAACGAGAGCGACCGGUGCUUGCACUGGUCAAUCUAGUGGCGAACGGGUGAGUAACACGUGGGUAACCUGCCCAUCAGAGGGGGAUAACAUCCGGAAACGGAUGCUAAAACCGCAUAGGUCUUCGAGCCGCAUGGCUUGAAGAGGAAAAGAGGCGCAAGCUUCUGCUGAUGGAUGGACCCGCGGUGCAUUAGCUAGUUGGUGAGGUAACGGCUCACCAAGGCGGUGAUGCAUAGCCGACCUGAGAGGGUGAUCGGCCACAUUGGGACUGAGACACGGUCCAAACUCCUACGGGAGGCAGCAGUAGGGAAUCUUCCGCAAUGGACGCAAGUCUGACGGAGCAACGCCGCGUGAGUGAAGAAGGUUUUCGGAUCGUAAAACUCUGUUGUUAGAGAAGAACAAGUGCUAGAGUAACUGUUAGCGCCUUGACGGUAUCUAACCAGAAAGCCACGGCUAACUACGUG
rnacentral:rRNA from 1 species